rnacentral:rRNA from 1 species
UACGGAGUGUGCAAGCGUUAUCCGGAUUUAUUGGGUUUAAAGGGUCCGUAGGCGGAUCUGUAAGUCAGUGGUGGAAUCUCACAGCUUAACUGUGAAACUGCCAUUGAUACUGCAGGUCUUGAGUGUUAUUGAAGUAGCUGGAAUAAGUAGUGUAGCGGUGAAAUGCAUAGAUAUUACUUAGAACACCAAUUGCGAAGGCAGGUUACUAAGCAACAACUGACGCUGAUGGACGAAAGCGUGGGGAGCGAACAGG